rnacentral:rRNA from 1 species
CCUACGGGAGGCAGCAGUAGGGAAUAUUGCUCAAUGGGGGAAACCCUGAAGCAGCAACGCCGCGUGGAGGAUGACGGUUUUAGGAUUGUAAACCCCCUUUGUUAGAGAAGUUUAUGACGGUAUCUAACGAAUAUGCAACGGCUAACACCGUGACAGCAGCCGCGGUAACACGGAGGCUGCAAGCGUUACUCGGAAUCACCGGGCGUAAAGAGUGCGUAGGCGGGGUAAUAAGUCAGAUGUGAAAUUCUGUAGCUUAACUACAGAACUGCAGUUGAAACUGUUACUCUUGAGUGUGGGAGAGGUAGGUGGAAUUCGUGGUGUAGGGGUAAAAUCCGUAGAGAUCAAGAAGAAUACUCAUUGCGAAGGCAGCCUGCUGGAACAUUACUGACGCUGAUGCACGAAAGCGUGGGUAGCAAACAGGAUUAGAUACCCGAGUAGUC